rnacentral:rRNA from 1 species
UAAUAAAAGGUAAGCUACUAAGAGCGAAUGGUGGAUGCCUUGACUGGUAAAGGCGAUGAAGGACGUACUAGACUGCGAUAAGCUACGGGGAGCUGUCAAGAAGCUUUGAUCCGUAGAUUUCCGAAUGGGGCAACCCAAUGUAUAGAGAUAUACAUUACCUAUAUAGGAGCGAACGAGGGGAAUUGAAACAUCUUAGUACCCUCAGGAAAAGAAAUCAAUAGAGAUUGCGUCAGUAGCGGCGAGCGAAAGCGCAAGAGGGCAAACCCAGUGCUUGCACUGGGGGUUGUAGGACUGCAAUGUGCAAGAGCUGAGUUUAGCAGAACAUUCUGGAAAGUAUAGCCAUAGAGGGUGAUAGUCCCGUAUGCGAAAAACAAAGCUUAGCUAGCAGUAUCCUGAGUAGGGCGGGACACGAGGAAUCCUGUCUGAAUCCGGGUCGACCACGAUCCAACCCUAAAUACUAAUACCAGAUCGAUAGUGCACAAGUACCGUGAGGGAAAGGUGAAAAGAACUGAGGUGAUCAGAGUGAAAUAGAACCUGAAACCAUUUGCUUACAAUCAUUCAGAGCACUAUGUAGCAAUACAGUGUGAUGGACUGCCUUUUGCAUAAUGAGCCUGCGAGUUGUGGUGUCUGGCAAGGUUAAGCAAACGCGAAGCCGUAGCGAAAGCGAGUCUGAAUAGGGCGCUUAGUCAGAUGCUGCAGACCCGAAACGAAGUGAUCUAUCCAUGAGCAAGUUGAAGCUAGUGUAAGAACUAGUGGAGGACUGAACCCAUAGGCGUUGAAAAGCCCCGGGAUGACUUGUGGAUAGGGGUGAAAGGCCAAUCAAACUUCGUGAUAGCUGGUUCUCUCCGAAAUAUAUUUAGGUAUAGCGUUGUGUCGUAAUAUAAGGGGGUAGAGCACUGAAUGGGCUAGGGCAUACACCAAUGUACCAAACCCUAUCAAACUCCGAAUACCUUAUAUGUAAUCACAGCAGUCAGGCGGCGAGUGAUAAAAUCCGUCGUCAAGAGGGAAACAACCCAGACUACCAGCUAAGGUCCCUAAAUCUUACUUAAGUGGAAAACGAUGUGAAGUUACUUAAACAACCAGGAGGUUGGCUUAGAAGCAGCCAUCCUUUAAAGAAAGCGUAAUAGCUCACUGGUCUAGUGAUUUUGCGCGGAAAAUAUAACGGGGCUAAAGUAAGUACCGAAGCUGUAGACUUGCACACAACUUAGAUUAUUUAAGUUUAGAAUAUGAGAAACUAAGUUAUGUUUAGUUAUAUUUUUACUGAUUUUUAUAGAGUAAAGAUAGAAAUAAAACUUAGUAAAAUCAGUAAAAAUAUUCUUAGACUAAAGUUAAGUAGUUUAAGUUGUGUGCAAGUGGUAGGAGAGCGUUCUAUUUGCGUCGAAGGUAUACCGGUAAGGAGUGCUAGAGCGAAUAGAAGUGAGCAUGCAGGCAUGAGUAGCGAUAAUUAAUGUGAGAAUCAUUAACGCCGUAAACCCAAGGUUUCCUACGCGAUGCUCGUCAUCGUAGGGUUAGUCGGGUCCUAAGUCGAGUCCGAAAGGGGUAGACGAUGGCAAAUUGGUUAAUAUUCCAAUACCAACAUUAGUGUGCGAUGGAAGGACGCUUAGGGCUAAGGGGGCUAGCGGAUGGAAGUGCUAGUCUAAGGUCGUAGGAGGUUAUACAGGCAAAUCCGUAUAACAAUACUCCGAGAACUGAAAGGCUUUUUGAAGUCUUCGGAUGGAUAGAAGAACCCCUGAUGCCGUCGAGCCAAGAAAAGUUUCUAAGUUUAGCUAAUGUUGCCCGUACCGUAAACCGACACAGGUGGGUGGGAUGAGUAUUCUAAGGCGCGUGGAAGAACUCUCUUUAAGGAACUCUGCAAAAUAGCACCGUAUCUUCGGUAUAAGGUGUGGUUAGCUUCGUACUAGGAUUUACUCCGAAAGCGAAGAAACUUACAACAAAGAGUCCCUCCCGACUGUUUACCAAAAACACAGCACUCUGCUAACUCGUAAGAGGAUGUAUAGGGUGUGACGCCUGCCCGGUGCUCGAAGGUUAAUUGAUGGGGUUAGCAUUAGCGAAGCUCUUGAUCGAAGCCCGAGUAAACGGCGGCCGUAACUAUAACGGUCCUAAGGUAGCGAAAUUCCUUGUCGGUUAAAUACCGACCUGCAUGAAUGGCGUAACGAGAUGGGAGCUGUCUCAAAGAGGGAUCCAGUGAAAUUGUAGUGGAGGUGAAAAUUCCUCCUACCCGCGGCAAGACGGAAAGACCCCGUGGACCUUUACUACAGCUUGACACUGCUACUUGGAUAAGAAUGUGCAGGAUAGGUGGGAGGCUUUGAGUAUAUGACGCCAGUUGUAUAUGAGCCAUUGUUGAGAUACCACUCUUUCUUAUUUGGGUAGCUAACCAGCUUGAGUUAUCCUCAAGUGGGACAAUGUCUGGUGGGUAGUUUGACUGGGGCGGUCGCCUCCCAAAUAAUAACGGAGGCUUACAAAGGUUGGCUCAGAACGGUUGGAAAUCGUUCGUAGAGUAUAAAGGUAUAAGCCAGCUUAACUGCAAGACAUACAAGUCAAGCAGAGACGAAAGUCGGUCUUAGUGAUCCGGUGGUUCUGUGUGGAAGGGCCAUCGCUCAAAGGAUAAAAGGUACCCCGGGGAUAACAGGCUGAUCUCCCCCAAGAGCUCACAUCGACGGGGAGGUUUGGCACCUCGAUGUCGGCUCAUCGCAUCCUGGGGCUGGAGCAGGUCCCAAGGGUAUGGCUGUUCGCCAUUUAAAGCGGUACGCGAGCUGGGUUCAGAACGUCGUGAGACAGUUCGGUCCCUAUCUGCCGUGGGCGUAAGAAGAUUGAAGAGAUUUGACCCUAGUACGAGAGGACCGGGUUGAACAAACCACUGGUGUAGCUGUUGUUCUGCCAAGAGCAUCGCAGCGUAGCUAAGUUUGGAAAGGAUAAACGCUGAAAGCAUCUAAGCGUGAAGCCAACUCUAAGAUGAAUCUUCUCUAAGCUCUCUAGAAGACUACUAGUUUGAUAGGCUGGGUGUGUAAUGGAUGAAAGUCCUUUAGCUGACCAGUACUAAUAGAGCGUUUGGCUUAUCUUUAUAAAGCAU